AUUGCACUCUGCAACUCGAGUGCAUGAAGUCGGAAUCGCUAGUAAUCGCAGGUCAGCAUACUGCGGUGAAUACGUUCCCGGGUCUUGUACACACCGCCCGUCACACCAUGGGAGUGGGGGAUACCAGAAGUAGGUAGGAUAACCGCAAGGAGUCCGCUUACCACGGUAUGCUUCAUGACUGGGGUGAAGUCGUAACAAGGUAGCCGUAGGGGAACCUGCGGCUGGAUCACCUCCUUUCUAG
rnacentral:rRNA from 1 species